GACGAACGCUGGCGGCGUGCCUAAUACAUGCCAGUCGAGCGAAGUCUUUCUGGUGCUUGCACACGAAAGACUUAGCGGCGAACGGGUGAUUAACACGUAAAGAACCUGCCUCAUAGACUGGGACAACUAUUGGAAACGAUAGCUAAUACCCGAUAACAGUAUUUCUCGCAUGAGAGAUCUUUAAAAGUUGGUUAUGCUAACACUCUGAGAUGGCUUUUCGGUGCAUUAGGUCGUUGGUGGGCUAAAGGCCCACCAAGGCGACGAUGCAUAGCCGACCUGAGAGGGUGAUCGGCCACACUGGGACUGAGACACGGCCCAGACUCCUACGGGAGGCAGCAGUAGGGAAUCUUCCGCAAUGGGCGAAAGCCUGACGGAGCAACGCCGCGUGCGUGAAGAAGGAUUUCGGUUCGUAAAGCGCUGUUGUUAGGGAAGAAUGGAUAUGUAGUAACUAUACAUGUAAGAGACGGUACCUAACCAGAAAGCCACGGCUAACUACGUG
rnacentral:rRNA from 1 species